rnacentral:rRNA from 1 species
GGCCAGACUCCUACGGGAGGCAGCAGUGGGGAAUAUUGGACAAUGGGGGGAACCCUGAUGCAGCGACGCCGCGUGGGUGAAGGAGUGCUUCGGCAUGUAAAGCCCUAUCGGCAGGGAAGAAGCAAGACGGUACCUGACUAAGAAGCCCCGACUAACUACGUGCCAGCAGCCGCGGUAAUACGUAGGGGGCGAGCGUUAUCCGGAUUUAUUGGGUUUAAAGGGUGCGCAGGCGGAAGAUCAAGUCAGCGGUAAAAUUGAGAGGCUCAACCUCUGCGAGCCGUUGAAACUGGUUUUCUUGAGUGAGCGAGAAGUAUGCGGAAUGCGUGGUGUAGCGGUGAAAUGCAUAGAUAUCACGCAGAACUCCGAUUGCGAAGGCAGCAUACCGGCGCUCAACUGACGCUCAUGCACGAAAGUGUGGGUAUCGAACAGGAUUAGAUACCCCAGUAU